AAUAGAUACCCUGGUAGUCCACGCCGUAAACGAUGUCGACUUGGAGGUUGUGCCCCUUGAGGCGUGGCUUCCGGAGCUAACGCGUUAAGUCGACCGCCUGGGGGUACGGCCGCAAGGUUAAAACUCAAAUGAAUUGACGGGGGCCCGCACAAGCGGUGGAGCAUGUGGUUUAAUUCGAUGCAACGCGAAGAACCUUACCUGGUCUUGACAUCCACAGAAUUCUGCAGAGAUGCGGAAGUGCCUUCGGGAACUGUGAGACAGGUGCUGCAUGGCUGUCGUCAGCUCGUGUUGUGAAAUGUUGGGUUAAGUCCCGCAACGAGCGCAACCCUUAUCCUUUGUUGCCAGCGGUUCCGGCCGGGAACUCAAAGGAGACUGCCAGUGAUAAACUGGAGGAAGGUGGGGAUGACGUCAAGUCAUCAUGGCCCUUACGACCAGGGCUACACACGUGCUACAAUGGCGCAUACAAAGAGAAGCGACCCCGCGAGGGCAAGCGGACCUCAUAAAGUGCGUCGUAGUCCGGAUUGGAGU
rnacentral:rRNA from 1 species